AGGUUUUUUACAAUAUAAAUCAAUUGCUUUAAAAAAGCAAUUGUAGGGGGUCUUUCCCCCUUUAAAAUUAAUUGAAUUUGGGGGGGGGGGGUUUGUUUGUUUGUUUGUUUGUUUGUUUCUGUAUGGGGUCGAUAUUAUUGUUACCGGAGAAGUUUCAUGUUUAGUUUGGAAAGUUUUUAUUUUAUUUUAGGUCCAGCGCGCGCGCCAGAUGGGGAAGACAUCACGUGACUUGGGUUUAUAAUAACGAAAACUUAGUAUUUUUAUUUCUCUUUAGGUCGGGAUGUUGAACAGACAACAUGUAUAGAGACGGAAUGUACACAAUGUAAUUUCUUUUGUCAUUGUAGGAAAUUGACAUUUUGAUCACAGUUCACCAGCAGUGCAUGUUUUGGAUUUAAUUGUUCCGGUGUAACUUUAAUACACAUUUAAUGAUUAUUUUCUUAAAAUGUACAUUUUUCAGCACCAGUUUGUAACACAGAUUAGUAUUUUAAUCUAGGAGCGGACAUUUUAUUGUAGGAUGUCACUGAGAUUUACGGACCUAGCAAGCGAUUUUUACAGCAUUGCCAUUUUUUUUCUCUAGGAAAAGUCUUGAGAGAUAUCCGCACCAAGUUUUUUUAUGAACCUUUAGUACAUGUAUGCCCUGCUGCCUGCAAAUUUUCAGGUCGAUUGGACUUGUAGUUUCAGAGUACAUGUGGAUUUUUUUUUCAGAAGUUACGCAAGAAC
rnacentral:lncRNA from 1 species